rnacentral:tRNA from 1 species
AAGACACUAGUAAAACGUGUAAUUACACUGCCUUGUCGAGGCAGAAUUGUGGGUUAAACUCCCGCGUGUCUUG